AAAGUCAUGGUACUUUACAAAACUGGGGAGAGGAAGAACUCCAUUUAAGAUGAAUCAGCAAUGCCAUUUUGACACUUGUCAUGCUGUGCUUUUUCCAAAGCUGAUAGAACUAAAGUUUGAGAAGUUUGACGUUGAACGAGACAACUACUGCCAUUAUGAUUAUG
rnacentral:miRNA from 1 species